ACCCCCGGUAUUGUUGCUGUUUUGGGUUGCGACCGAGCUUAGCCUUGUUCAUUUUUUUACACAACAGCGCCGUAAAAAAUAAAACACGCCCUGCUCAAGGUCGCAGUUCUAACGACUUCCAGGCGUCUAAAUCCGCCCUAAAGUGCGGCAAAAAUGGGCUCACGGCGCCCUUUUAGGGCAA
rnacentral:sRNA from 1 species